UUGCCUACGGGACGCAGCAGUGGGGAAUAUUGCACAAUGGGCGCAAGCCUGAUGCAGCGACGCCGCGUGCGGGAUGGAGGCCUUCGGGUUGUAAACCGCUUUUGUUCAAGGGCAAGGCACGGUCUUUGGCCGUGUUGAGGGGUUUGUUCGAAUAAGCACCGGCUAACUACGUGCCAGCAGCCGCGGUAAUACGUAGGGUGCAAGCGUUAUCCGGAUUUAUUGGGCGGAAAGGGCUCGUAGGCGGUACGUCGCGUACGGUGUGAACGUCCAUCGCUUAACGGAGGAUC
rnacentral:rRNA from 1 species